UGGAGAGUUUGAUCCUGGCUCAGGACGAACGCUGCGGCGUGCUUAACACAUGCAAGUCGAACGGAAAGGCCUCUUCGGAGGUACUCGAGUGGCGAACGGGUGAGUAACACGUGGGCAAUCUGCCCUGCACUUCGGGAUAAGCCUGGGAAACUGGGUCUAAUACCGGAUAGGACCUCAAGACGCAUGUCUUCUGGUGGAAAGCUUUUGCGGUGUGGGAUGGGCCCGCGGCCUAUCAGCUUGUUGGUGGGGUGACGGCCUACCAAGGCGACGACGGGUAGCCGGCCUGAGAGGGUGUCCGGCCACACUGGGACUGAGAUACGGCCCAGACUCCUACGGGAGGCAGCAGUGGGGAAUAUUGCACAAUGGGCGCAAGCCUGAUGCAGCGACGCCGCGUGGGGGAUGACGGCCUUCGGGUUGUAAACCUCUUUCACCAUCGACGAAGGUCCGGGUUUUCUCGGAUUGACGGUAGGUGGAGAAGAAGCACCGGCCAAUCGUGCCAGCAGCCGCGGUA
rnacentral:rRNA from 1 species